rnacentral:tmRNA from 1 species
GGGGAUGCCAUGGUUUCGACGUGAUUGAAGAGGCUUUGGCUGCAAGUCGUAUAUCAAAACGUAAAUUGAUAAUUAAAUAUAAACGCAAACGAAAACAGCGAAGCAAACUUCGCACUAGCAGCCUAGUAAUAGGUUAGCAAUGAAUAUUAGGUUCGUCGCAAAUUUAAUAUUCGUUUUAUAAUUAAGCGACAACUAAUAUAUCAAAGCUUUGAGAUAUAUUGAGUAACAUGAAGCUAGCAGAAAAAACUUUUUGUAAGUUUUUGAUUUUUAUGUGAAACUUUAAAACUUAAUAAACUUGUAGAUGCCUUUGGUGAUGCUUUCACGGACAAGGGUUCGACUCCCUUCAUCUCCACCA